UUGUUUAGUGGCUGAGAAAAGCGUAAGUCUUUUAAACUUAUUAUAGUAAAUCUCUAAACAAA
rnacentral:tRNA from 1 species